AGCUCGUGUAACUCUUCAUUAUCGCAUAAAUAUUUCACCUUUUACUAAAGAUUUCCGUGGAGAAGAACUUUUUGCGAGUGACCUGUAUUUUUGGAGGCUUUGAUCACAGCAGAGCU
rnacentral:snRNA from 1 species